CCUACGGGAGGCUGCAGUGAGGAAUAUUGGUCAAUGGACGAGAGUCUGAACCAGCCAAGUAGCGUGAAGGAUGACUGCCCUAUGGGUUGUAAACUUCUUUUAUAUGGGAAUAAAAUGUUCCACGUGUGGGAUUUUGUAUGUACCAUAUGAAUAAGGAUCGGCUAACUCCGUGCCAGCAGCCGCGGUAAUACUGAGGAUCCGAGCGUUAUCCGGAUUUAUUGGGUUUAAAGGGUGCGCAGGCGGAAUGUCAAGUCAGCGGUAAAAUUUCGGGGCUCAACCCCGUCGUGCCGUUGAAACUGGCGUUCUUGAGUGAGCGAGAAGUAUGCGGAAUGCGUGGUGUAGCGGUGAAAUGCAUAGAUAUCACGCAGAACCCCGAUUGCGAAGGCAGCCUGCCGCAGCGUUACUGACGCUGAAGCUCGAAAGCGCGGGUAUCGAACAGGAUUAGAUACCCCAGUAGUC
rnacentral:rRNA from 1 species